rnacentral:misc_RNA from 1 species
AAGUCGUAACAAGGUUUCCGUAGGUGAACCUGCGGAAGGAUCAUUAAUACGUCUAACAACGUUUUAAACCUUACAAAUUUGUGGAAAUUCUCAACAUUCCGGGUGUAUAAUAACUUCAUUGUGUAGUGCAUUUUAUUGGCAUGAGAAGGGACUUCUCGUUAUGAGACACUUCAGUGUAGAGCAGUGAGGUGAAAUCUGAGCUCUUCAUGGCUUGGAUUUGGUUCUGGAUCACGACUCUUUGAGUUAAAAUGCCAAAUGCAUUCGGUUAUUUCUGUUCUCCAUUUUAUUCUAUCAAACUUCUAAACCCCAUGUACAACAACUUGAACUAAACAUCUCUUCUGAUCACAUUGACUUGUGUGAUGAAGAACAGAUCUGAAAUUAAGAACAACUCUUAACAACGGAUAUCUUGGUUCUC